AAAGUGACUGAUGAGUAGAAUUCGGAGAUCCAACAGCCAAUCAGCAGACAGCUGCUUGGUGAAUACAAUUCAGUUCGUGCUCUCUUAGGGCACUAUGAGCAGAAAUUAAUCAGUUUGAAGCUGGCGACAUUUCAGGUAGCUCUACUUGAGAUUCCAGUAGUAAAACUACAUUGGACACUGCCUUCCCGUCUCCUGUGCUAAUGAAACCGAGGCGAUCAGGCGACACAUAGAGAUUUAGAUUCCAUUAUAUCUUAGCAAAUAUUCAGAAAGACAGCACCCACAUGAGAAGCCAACAGCUGACAGUCACCCAAGAAGCUGACACCCUGCCCAGACAGCACGGACCUUCCACUCUCUUAAACAACCAGCCAGAUGAGUAUAUACUGCCACAGCUACCCUGAAAUGGACUUCCGUCAGUUACACCAGCGAACAAUAACUGGCAACUAUAACAGCUGACUGUGCACUUUGAUUUCUCAAGCUUAUGUGAAAUUGUGCGGAUAGGGCUGUAAAAACAUGGACUCAACGCCAGAAAGAUUCUUUGUAUGAUGUACUGUUUCAGAAUAUUGUACAGAAGCUGCUUCACUAUAUGAGAUCACUGAACUAGAAAGAUG